GAUGAACGCUGGCGGCGUGCCUAAUACAUGCAAGUCGAGCGAAUGGAUUAAGAGCUUGCUCUUAUGAAGUUAGCGGCGGACGGGUGAGUAACACGUGGGUAACCUGCCCAUAAGACUGGGAUAACUCCGGGAAACCGGGGCUAAUACCGGAUAACAUUUUGAACCGCAUGGUUCGAAAUUGAAAGGCGGCUUCGGCUGUCACUUAUGGAUGGACCCGCGUCGCAUUAGCUAGUUGGUGAGGUAACGGCUCACCAAGGCAACGAUGCGUAGCCGACCUGGGAGGGUGAUCGGGCACACUGGGACUGAGACACGGCCCAGACGCCUAGGGGAGGCAGCAGUAGGGAAUCUUCCGCAAUGGACGAAAGUCUGACGGAGCAACGCCGCGUGAGUGAUGAAGGCUUUCGGGUCGUAGAACUCUGUUGUUAGGGAAGAACAAGUGCUAGUUGAAUAAGCUGGCACCUUGACGGUACCUAACCAGAAAGCCACGGCUAACUACGUGCCAGCCGCCGCAGUAA
rnacentral:rRNA from 1 species